UCUCAUGCCCUAGACCUCUAACAUAACAAGAUCUCGUACCAAGCAUCUGAUCACAGAUCUCAUUAUCUAUGGGUGCAGUCAAGCCCUCAGGGAUAGGUUAGGAUCUGAUGCCUAUCAUACGAUCCUAAAAAAUAAAAUUAUAGCUAUUUUAAUUUUAUAUUGAAAAUCAAACUACAAAUGAAAAAAUAAUUGAAAAUACUUACAAAAAGCUCCUAGCUCCC
rnacentral:lncRNA from 1 species